AGGACGAACGCUGGCGGCGUGCUUAACACAUGCAAGUCGAGCGGAAAGGCCCUUCGGGGUACUCGAGCGGCGAACGGGUGAGUAACACGUGAGCAACCUGCCCUUAGCUCUGGGAUAGCUCCGGGAAACCGGAUUAAUACCGGAUAUUACACCGGCUGGCAUCGGCUGGUGUGGAAAGAUUUAUCGGCUAAGGAUGGACUCGCGGCCUAUCAGCUUGUUGGUGGGGUAGAAGCCUACCAAGGCGACGACGGGUA
rnacentral:rRNA from 1 species